rnacentral:rRNA from 1 species
UACAGAGGUCUCGAGCGUUGUUCGGAUUCAUUGGGCGUAAAGGGUGCGUAGGUGGCGCUGUAAGUCGGGUGUGAAAUCCUGAGGCUUAACCUCGGAACUGCAUUCGAUACUGCGGCGCUUGAGGACUGGAGAGGAGACUGGAAUUCAUGGUGUAGCAGUGAAAUGCGUAGAGAUCAUGAGGAAGACCAGUGGCGAAGGCGACUCACUGGGCUCUACCUGACGCUGAGGCGCGAAAGCGUGGGGAGCGAACCGG